rnacentral:rRNA from 1 species
AUUGAACGCUGGCGGCAGGCCUAACACAUGCAAGUCGAACGAGCGGCGGACGGGUGAGUAAUGUCUGGGAAUCUGCCCGAUAGAGGGGGAUAACUACUGGAAACGGUAGCUAAUACCGCAUACUAUCGGAUGAACCCAUAUGGGAGUAGCUAGUAGGUGGGGUAAAGGCUCACCUAGGCGACGAUCCCUAGCUGGUCUGAGAGGAUGACCAGCCACACUGGGACUGAGACACGGCCCAGACUCCUACGGGAGGCAGCAGUGGGGAAUAUUGCACAAUGGGCGCAAGCCUGAUGCAGCCAUGCCGCGUGUAUGAAGAAGGCCUUCGGGUUGUAAAGUACUUUCAGCGGGGAGGCGUUACCCGCAGAAGAAGCACCGGCUAACUCCGUGCCAGCAGCCGCGGUAAUAC